rnacentral:rRNA from 1 species
UCGACGGGACUUGGCCCUUCGGGGACAGUUUAGUGGCGGACGGGUGAGUAACGCGUGAGCAACCUGCCUUUCAGAGGGGGACAACAGUUGGAAACGACUGCUAAUACCGCAUGACGCUUUUAGGAGGCAUCUCCAAAAAGUCAAAGAUUUAUCGCUGAAAGAUGGGCUCGCGUCUGAUUAGAUAGUUGGUGGGGUAACGGCCUACCAAGUCAACGAUCAGUAGCCGGACUGAGAGGUUGAACGGCCACAUUGGGACUGAGAUACGGCCCAGACUCCUACGGGAGGCAGCAGUGGGGAAUAUUGGGCAAUGGGGGAAACCCUGACCCAGCAACGCCGCGUGAAGGAAGAAGGCCUUCGGGUUGUAAACUUCUUUUACCAGGGACGAAGAACGUGACGGUACCUGGAGAAAAAGCCACGGCUAACUACGUGCCAGCAGCCGCGGUAAUACGUAGGUGGCAAGCGUUGUCCGGAUUUACUGGGUGUAAAGGGCGUGUAGGCGGAGCUGCAAGUCAGAUGUGAAAUCCCGGGGCUCAACCCCGGAACUGCAUUUGAAACUGUAGCCCUUGAGUAUCGGAGAGGCAGGCGGAAUUCCUAGUGUAGCGGUGAAAUGCGUAGAUAUUAGGAGGAACACCAGUGGCGAAGGCGGCCUGCUGGACGACAACUGACGCUGAGGCGCGAAAGCGUGGGGAGCAAACAGGAUUAGAUACCCUGGUAGUCCACGCUGUAAACGAUGAAUACUAGGUGUGGGAGGACUGACCCCUUCCGUGCCGCAGUUAACACAAUAAGUAUUCCACCUGGGGAGUACGACCGCAAGGUUGAAACUCAAAGGAAUUGACGGGGGCCCGCACAAGCAGUGGAUUAUGUGGUUUAAUUCGACGCAACGCG